CAAUAGCGUAUAUUAAAGUUGUUGCGGUUAAAAAGCUCGUAGUUGGAUUUCUGCUGAGAACGACCGGUCCGCCCUCUGGGUGUGUAUCUGGCUCUUUCUUGGCAUCUUCUUGGUGAACGUUGCUGCACUUGACUGUGUGGAGCGCUACCCAGGACUUUUACUUUGAGGAAAUUAGAGUGUUUCAAGCAGGCAUACGCCUUGAAUACAUUAGCAUGGAAUAAUAAGAUAGGACCUCGGUUCUAUUUUGUUGGUUUCUAGAGCUGAGGUAAUGAUUAAUAGGGAUAGUUGGGGGCAUUCGUAUUUAACUGUCAGAGGUGGAAUUCUUGGAUUUGUUAAAGACGGACUACUGCGAANGNAUUUGCNAAGGAUGUUUNCAUUG
rnacentral:rRNA from 1 species